rnacentral:lncRNA from 1 species
UGUUGUGACACAGCUUUGUGGUCUAAGGAAAAAGUGAGAAAGAUUUGUGGUAGUGAUAGCAUUUUGUAGCAAUAUUUCAAUGGAUGACGUUAUCAACUCAAAUGGUUCAUUCACUUCUAAAAGGAAUUUUUGUUGUCCAAAUCAUUAAUAGAUGGAUUUGAUCGGAGAUAAGACAGCCCAGCCCAUGGAGAUCACAAUAAGAGCAUUUGUUCCAUCACUCCAAUCCCAUAUAUGUUUUACAUGGCCCGCGAAAUACAUUUUUCACCAAUUUUUUUUAUUUUGAGAUUAAUAUAAGGAGACCAAAAUUAUUUAAAAAAAUUAUUUAUCGAUUAUAUUUUUUUAGUUCUGAAAAUUUAGCGGAUAUUUUUUUAUGAAGAAAAUUAAGUGUG